rnacentral:sRNA from 1 species
AUUUAGCCCCGAUGGAAGCGGUAUCUCCCGAUUUAGAAAAACAAGGCUUUUUUUUUAGCCGUAGUUUUUAUUUAGCGGGAAUACAGCGGACAGCGGGACAACUG